CUGGCGGGGUGGCUAAUACAUGCAAGUCGAGCGGACAGAUGGGAGCUUGCUCCCUGAUGUUAGCGGCGGACGGGUGAGUAACACGUGGGUAACCUGCCUGUAAGACUGGGAUAACUCCGGGAAACCGGGGCUAAUACCGGAUGCUUGUUUGAACCGCAUGGUUCAAACAUAAAAGGUGGCUUCGGCUACCACUUACAGAUGGACCCGCGGCGCAUUAGCUAGUUGGUGAGGUAACGGCUCACCAAGGCAACGAUGCGUAGCCGACCUGAGAGGGUGAUCGGCCACACUGGGACUGAGACACGGCCCAGACUCCUACGGGAGGCAGCAGUAGGGAAUCUUCCGCAAUGGACGAAAGUCUGACGGAGCAACGCCGCGUGAGUGAUGAAGGUUUUCGGAUCGUAAAGCUCUGUUGUUAGGGAAGAACAAGUACCGUUCGAAUAGGGCGGUACCUUGACGGUACCUAACCAGAAAGCCACGGCUAACUACGUGCCAGCAGCCGCGGUAAUACGUAGGUGGCAAGCGUUGUCCGGAAUUAUUGGGCGUAAAGGGCUCGCAGGCGGUUUCUUAAGUCUGAUGUGAAAGCCCCCGGCUCAACCGGGGAGGGUCAUUGGAAACUGGGGAACUUGAGUGCAGAAGAGGAGAGU
rnacentral:rRNA from 1 species